GCGCGGGUGGCGAAAUUGGUAGACGCGCUACCUUGAGGUGGUAGUGCCCACAAGGCGUGAAGGUUCGAGUCCUUUCCCGCGCA
rnacentral:tRNA from 1 species